UGGUAGAAGAAGAGAAUGAGCGUGGCUGUGCGGUAGGAAGCUUACUUCCCAACCACAUGGUUCUGGGUUCAGUCCCACUGUGUGGCUCCUUAGGCUAGUGUCUUCUACUAUAGCCUCAGGCCAACCAAAGCCUUGUGAGUGGAUU